rnacentral:lncRNA from 1 species
CUGUUUUGUCUGAGGGCCCUUUCACAAAGCAAUGUUCUUGUACACUUAAAACUGUGUGUUCCACUAUAAACAUAAAUGGGAAUAGCACACACACCAACAUGAGACAAUUGCACAUGUUUUAUCAUGCUUACAUUGUUACUGUUUUGACAGAAAAUGUUACUAAUUUAUGCAUAAAGAAGAUGUUCUGAGGGUGAAGACAAUGUCAUUCUGUUCUAUAGGACAGAAACAUACUCCAUUUAUCAUUCAGAUUUCUGGGGAGUCUUGCCUACUUACAGAUCUACUCAGAAGAUAAAGGGGCCAUGUCUAUUUACCUUUUAAAAGACUGUAUUCCCUCUUCUUUUCCUGGAAGUGGCAGAGUUGUAAGGGCUUUUCUAAAUGCCUAAAAUGUCGAGUGUGGUGACUCAUAUGCCUUUCUCUGCAGAUCAGAGCAAAUGUGCAAGGACCUCCCAGUGCCUUGAGGACCACUCUCUUUCCUGGAGAUCUCACAAAACCGAAUGGGUUGAGGUCUCUAUUGAUCUGCACUUCAUGUAUUCAGUACUCCUCCUGUGUGGAUUUGUGAACUGCACUGCUACCUUCCAGAAACUAACAUUUCUCAUGCUGAAACUCUCAUGUUACAGAACUAAAGGAUGCUAAAUGAAAUCAAAAAAGACUCCUGCAAGCAGGAGGGGAAGGCAAUGCAGUGGAUUGUAUUGUUUUAGUGCUUCAGCAUAAAGACUGGUACAUACUCAGUAUACAAUGUAUAUAGAUAUAUAUAUACACAAAUAGAUAUACAGGUAGGUAUGUAUGUCAUAAAACUAAAUAAAACAGGACUGGGGCAAGGGCUGGAUCA